UGUAAACUGCAGUAGGGGUCCAGUGGUUGAUGAAGUAGCCCUUGUAGAGCAUUUGAAACAAAAUCCUAUGUUUCGUGUUGGCCUUGAUGUCUUUGAGGUAACUGAACUGGACUUCUCUGUCUCAAUUUUUGUCGAUGAAAGCGAAACCACCAUUAAGUCAUGCAUGAUUGUUCUCCAAUUCUUUUGUAUCAGGAUGAACCUUACAUGAAGCCCGGGCUUGCUGACAUGAAGAAUGCUGUUGUUGUACCUCACAUUGCUUCUGCUUCCAAGGUAAAACUGAUAGAUACAUGAUUUGACCGAGGUCAUUAAGGCUUUCCAUGGCCAAUCAGUGACAUUAACAAAUAUUUCGCCUCGUUGGUUUUGUAGUGGACUCGUGAAGGAAUGGCAACACUAGCUGCUCUGAAUGUCCUGGUACGUUGAAAUUUAGAAAAAAAUCAAACAAGUAGCUCCAGAGCCAUUUUCAAGUUCAUUUAGCUGAUGUUUAAUCCCUAUGUUUUGGCUGCUCUCUGUAUUGCAGGGAAAGAUUAAAGGGUAUCCAGUGUGGGGCGAUCCGAAUCGGGUAGCACCAUUUUUGAAUGAGAAUGCUCCUCCACCUGCUGCAAGUCCAAGUAUUGUGAACGCAAAAGCCUUAGGUAAUGCAAAGGACUUGGAUAAUUGUUUGCCAAGUGAAUCUCCAGUCUCCACAUUUGAGGCAUCUCUUGACCUUGUUAUCUUGCUUUUGCCACAGGUCUACCUGUUUCAAAGCUAUAAAUCAUGGAAGGCUGAUCAUCAUCUAGGGGCCUUGUGGUUUAUAAUGUGUGUGUUUCUGAAUAUCGGAUCAUGGUCUCUACUAUGAUUUUCUCUUGGUAGAUGCAUAACAACCGUGUAAUGAGUAUUAUGAACUUAAAUAGCAAUAUUUUGCUCUGAGCUUAUGUUGUUGACACUAUGCUUUAAGC
rnacentral:lncRNA from 1 species